rnacentral:rRNA from 1 species
UACAGAGGUCCCAAGCGUUGUUCGGAUUCACUGGGCGUAAAGGGUGCGUAGGUGGCAGGGUAAGUCUGAUGUGAAAUCUCCGAGCUUAACUCGGAAACUGCAUUGAAUACUAUCCUGCUCGAGGGUUGGAAGGGAGACUGGAAUUCUCGGUGUAGCAGUGAAAUGCGUAGAUAUCGAGAGGAACACCAGUGGCGAAGGCGAGUCCCUGGACAACUCCUGACACUGAGGCACGAAAGCUAGGGGAGCAAACAGG